rnacentral:lncRNA from 1 species
CAUUAUUAGUUCAACAUCUCUAUGUCCAUGACUUGUGAAACAUAGUCAUCAACUAAUACAUGUGCUAGUAUAAUAUUCAUGUGUGUCCUCACAUGAACUCCGACUAGGGACAACUUUAGAAUAACCAUACAAGUAAAGAGUUUCACAUACAAUUCACAUAAUUGCAAAUCAAUUCAAGUAGCCUUCAAUGGAUAUUCAAUGAACACAAUAUACAAAUCAUGGAUACAAAUGGAAUAUCAUCAUCUCUAUGAUUGCCUCUAGGGCAUACCUCCAACAGUCUCC